AAAUUGAAGAGUUUGAUCAUGGCUCAGAUUGAACGCUGGCGGCAGGCCUAACACAUGCAAGUCGAACGGUAACAGGAAGCAGCUUGCUGCUUCGCUGACGAGUGGCGGACGGGUGAGUAAUGUCUGGGAAACUGCCUGAUGGAGGGGGAUAACUACUGGAAACGGUAGCUAAUACCGCAUAACGUCGCAGGACCAAAGAGGGGGACCUUCGGGCCUCUUGCCAUCAGAUGUGCCCAGAUGGGAUUAGCUUGUUGGUGAGGUAACGGCUCACCAAGGCGACGAUCCCUAGCUGGUCUGAGAGGAUGACCAGCCACACUGGAACUGAGACACGGUCCAGACUCCUACGGGAGGCAGCAGUGGGGAAUAUUGCACAAUGGGCGCAAGCCUGAUGCAGCCAUGCCGCGUGUAUGAAGAAGGCCUUCGGGUUGUAAAGUACUUUCAGCGGGGAGGAAGGGGAUAAGGCUAAUAACCUUGUUCAUUGACGUUACCCGCAGAAGAAGCACCGGCUAACUCCGUGCCAGCAGCCGCGGUAAUACGGAGGGUGCAAGCGUUAAUCGGAAUUACUGGGCGUAAAGCGCACGCAGGCGGUCUGUCAAGUCGGAUGUGAAAUCCCCGGGCUCAACCUGGGAACUGCAUUCGAAACUGGCAGGCUUGAGUCUUGUAGAGGGGGGUAGAAUUCCAGGUGUAGCGGUGAAAUGCGUAGAGAUCUGGAGGAAUACCGGUGGCGAAGGCGGCCCCCUGGACAAAGACUGACGCUCAGGUGCGAAAGCGUGGGGAGCAAACAGGAUUAGAUACCCUGGUAGUCCACGCCGUAAACGAUGUCUACUUGGAGGUUGUGCCCUUGAGGCGUGGCUUCCGGAGCUAACGCGUUAAGUAGACCGCCUGGGGAGUACGGCCGCAAGGUUAAAACUCAAAUGAAUUGACGGGGGCCCGCACAAGCGGUGGAGCAUGUGGUUUAAUUCGAUGCAACGCGAAGAACCUUACCUGGUCUUGACAUCCACAGAACUUUCCAGAGAUGGAUUGGUGCCUUCGGGAACUGUGAGACAGGUGCUGCAUGGCUGUCGUCAGCUCGUGUUGUGAAAUGUUGGGUUAAGUCCCGCAACGAGCGCAACCCUUAUCCUUUGUUGCCAGCGGUCCGGCCGGGAACUCAAAGGAGACUGCCAGUGAUAAACUGGAGGAAGGUGGGGAUGACGUCAAGUCAUCAUGGCCCUUACGACCAGGGCUACACACGUGCUACAAUGGCGCAUACAAAGAGAAGCGACCUCGCGAGAGCAAGCGGACCUCAUAAAGUGCGUCGUAGUCCGGACUGGAGUCUGCAACUCGACUCCAUGAAGUCGGAAUCGCUAGUAAUCGUGGAUCAGAAUGCCACGGUGAAUACGUUCCCGGGCCUUGUACACACCGCCCGUCACACCAUGGGAGUGGGUUGCAAAAGAAGUAGGUAGCUUAACCUUCGGGAGGGCGCUUACCACUUUGUGAUUCAUGACUGGGGUGAAGUCGUAACAAGGUAACCGUAGGGGAACCUGCGGUUGGAUCACCUCCUUACCUGAAAGAA
rnacentral:rRNA from 1 species